CAAACGGUUUUGAUGAGGACACAAAUAAGGUGACACGUCUUAUCAGAGAGGGAAGUCUUCGGCUGUGAGCUUCCUAAGUACAGCACUUUAUUUACCACCUUUGAACUCUGUUGAUGAACAGAAGUAAUCAACAGCGUUUUGUCCGCGUUAAGGAUGAAUGAAGCCAUUUCAUUGUAAAUGGAAAUCAGGGUGGAACCACGGGUAUAACGCUCGUCCCUUCG
rnacentral:ncRNA from 1 species